AUCGAACGCUGGCGGCAGGCCUAACACAUGCAAGUCGAGCGGAGCGGCGGGCGGGUGCGUAACGCCUAGGAAUCUGCCUGGUAGUGGGGGUUAAAGUCCGGAAAGGGGCGCUAAUACCGCAUACUAUCAGAUGAGCCUAGGUCGCGUGCGCUAGGUGGUGGGGUAAAGGCCUACCAAGGCGGCGAUCCGUAACUGGUCUGAGAGGAUGAUCAGUCACCCGGGAAUUGAGACACGGUCCAGGCUCCUACGGGAGGCAGCAGUGGUGAAUAUUGGACAAUGGGCGAGAGCCUGAUCCAGCCAUGCCGCGUGUGUGAAGAAGGUCUUCGGAUUGUAAAGAACUUUAAGUUGGGAGGCGUUACCAACAGAAUAAGCACCGGCUAACUUCGUGCCAGCAGCCGCGGUAAUUC
rnacentral:rRNA from 1 species